ACGUAGGGCGCGAGCGUUGUCCGGAAUUAUUGGGCGUAAAGAGCUUGUAGGCGGUUUGUCGCGUCUGCUGUGAAAGGCCGGGGCUUAACUCCGUGUAUUGCAGUGGGUACGGGCAGACUAGAGUGCAGUAGGGGAGACUGGAAUUCCUGGUGUAGCGGUGGAAUGCGCAGAUAUCAGGAGGAACACCGAUGGCGAAGGCAGGUCUCUGGGCUGUAACUGACGCUGAGAAGCGAAAGCAUGGGGAGCGAACAG
rnacentral:rRNA from 1 species